rnacentral:tRNA from 2 species
GCAUUGGUGGUUCAAUGGUAGAAUUCCUGCCUGCCAUGCAGGAGACCUGGGUUCAAUUCCCAGCCAAUGCA